GGUGAACGCUGGCGGCGUGCCUAACACAUGCAAGUCGAGCGGUGCAGUUUGAAGCUUCGGUGGAAAGCUGCAUAGCGGCGGACGGGUGAGGAAAACGUAGGAACGUGCCCCUUGGAGUUGGAUAGCCACGGGAAACGUGUGGGUAAACCGACAUAGACUCGAGAGAGUAAAGGCCGAAAGGCGCCAAGGGAGCGGCCUGCGGCCCAUCAGGUAGUUGGUAGUGUAAAGGACUACCAAGCCGACGACGGGUAGCCGGUCUGAGAGGAUGGCCGGCCACAAGGGCACUGAGAGACGGGCCCUACUCCUACGGGAGGCAGCAGUGGGGGAUUUUGGACAAUGGGCGAAAGCCUGAUCCAGCGACGCCGCGUGGAGGACGAAGCCCUUCGGGGUGUAAACUCCUUUUCUCAGGGAAAAAGGAUGAUGGUACCUGAGGAAUAAGCCCCGGCUAACUACGUG
rnacentral:rRNA from 1 species